rnacentral:rRNA from 1 species
AUUGAACGCUGGCGGCAGGCUUAACACAUGCAAGUCGAGCGAGCGGCGGACGGGUGAGUAAUGUCUGGGAAACUGCCUGAUGGAGGGGGAUAACUACUGGAAACGGUAGCUAAUACCGCAUACCAUCAGAUGUGCCCAGAGGGGAUUAGUUAGUAGGUGGGGUAAUGGCUCACCUAGGCGACGAUCCCUAGCUGGGCUGAGAGGAUGACCAGCCACACGGGAACUGAGACACGGUCCAGACUCCUACGGGAGGCAGCAGUGGGGAAUAUUGCACAAUGGGCGCAAGCCUGAUACAGCCAUGCCGCGUGUGUGAAGAAGGCCUUCGGGUUGUAAAGCACUUUAAGCGAGGAGGCGUUACUCGCAGAAGAAGCACCGGCUAACUCCGUGCCAGCAGCCGCGGUAAUUC